GAUGAGGACAUCCUCCACUAUUACCCGUUGGCAAAGACGCAAUUGGCCCAGUUGGCCCAAUUGUAGUCGGACAGCGACCGUGUGAGCCUCAGAAUUAUCCCACCUCGCUUAACUUGGGAGGAGGAAGCCACUUUAAAAGGGAGAGCCACCCUUCCCCCAUUGGACUAGUCUUUUGGGGCGAUUGGGCCUUUCCCUGAGUUGGGUGUGCUUAAUGAACUGUUGGGCUCCGGGCAACCCUAAUUUGUUGGGCCUCGGCCAACCCCACCUGGGCUGGGUGUAUCAUCUGGUAUCAGAGCUAGGGCCCAUUUUAAGAAGGUGGGAAUGAUGAGGACAUCCUCCAGUAUUACCCGUUGGCAAAGACGUAAUUGGCCCAGUUGGCCCAAUUGUAGUCGGACGACGACCGUGUGAGCCUCAAAAUUAUCCCACCUCGCUUAACUUGGGAGGAGGAAGCCACUUUAAAAGGGAGAGCCACCCUUCCCCCAUUGGGCUAGUCUUUUGGGGCGAUUGGGCCUCUCCCUGAGUUGGGUGUGCUUAAUGAACUGUUGGGCUCCGGGCAACCCUAAUUUGUUGGGCCUCGGCCAACCCUACCUGGGCUGGGUGUAUCAGAACUUCUUCGACUUAUAUUUCGGCGGUAUUUGGCUCUGCAUUCCCUUUGGAACGACUUUUGAGCAGAAAACUUACGCUGCGCUCCCUUAGGAACGAC
rnacentral:lncRNA from 1 species